GGUCAAACUUUUAUACAAAUACAACGAAGCAUUUCCUUUAGUCUCAUCACCAAGUUUCACUUGAUGAUAAACACAAAUCAAAAUUAGAACACUGGUUACUUAAUACAAUUUCCUUCAAACACUCAGUUGAAUAUUAAUAAAAUUAUCUGAUGAUGAUGGCUGAAUAUUUAAACAUAAAUACAUAUACAAAUUCUCCAAUUGUAUUUUGAUUCCUUUGACAGAAUAUAGGCAUUAUUUUUAGCCAUGGAUUGCCCCAUCAAGGUUAAGUUGACAAGUGAAAUUGACAAGAUUAAGUUUUUGGCUAUAACUAAGUUUUACUAACAAAAUUAACCCACUUUUAAUCUAAGAUCU
rnacentral:lncRNA from 1 species